rnacentral:lncRNA from 1 species
ACAACAAUAACACGAUAUUAUAUAUAACCGUUCUUUCCCUUUAGUCCUUUGGUUUCGUCCAAUGCAAGAAAUAUGAUCUUCCCUUCUUGUUCUUUGAAUAUUUAUGUAUCCUGGAUAAUACUUUUUUGCUUUGAAGACUCCAUUGACUUGGUGAUGGAGAAGCGAGAGGGAAUUACUUUUCCAAAUUUUGAAAGUCUUCAGGACCGUAGUUCCAUAAUAAAAAGACGUCAUACAAAAAAUAUCGUAUUAUCUUCGUAACUCCAUACAUUUUUACCACUAUUAUCAGCGAUCCAGGAUUUAAUAUCAAUAGUCAAUGAUGUAUCUCAAACUUCAUCACGAUACAACUUUACACGUUUCUAAAAACUUAUUAAAAUAAUAAAAACGUAGUUAGUAGUUAAUGUUACUCCGAGGUUACUUAUUUUUAUAUGAUUAUGAAUCCUGCUACGUUUCCUCCUCAAAAAUGAAAUAAUAAUGAUUACAGCUUCUAUUACUAGUGUUGGAUCGGUCUGGACAGAAUAAAGCGUACCGACUAUCCAUCGGUCUAAACUGAAUAAGUAUAUGGACCGCGGUCUGGACCGACGCAAAUUAGAAAGAGAAAACAUUUGACGCUACACACAUUUUUUAAAAAUAAUAUAUAUAAAUUAAGAUAAUUCAUAUAGUUGGUACUUCCAAAUAGGACAUUCCUAUGUCUGCAUAGGGCGGUUGUAUAAUUUUAAUAGCUUCUUUUUUUUUCCUUUUUUUUUGUGGUCUACACCAAGGUUAAUAGAAAUACAAUGUCAAUGUUAGACCAACAUGUAAUCGGGCUUGCUAGAAUUAUCAAUCUGAUGUAUUGUUUAGAUUGGUGGGCAAGACAGGUGGAUUUUGACAAAACACGUAACCACUCAUAGUAUUUGACGUCACUAUUGCUACAAUUUAAUGUAUCGUACCGACUGCUAGGAAAUGAAAACAGAUUUUGACAAAACACGCAACCACUCAUAUUACUAUGACGUCAAUAUUAAAAGCGUGGGGGAAGUCAAACAUCAGUCGCACACGCGUUAUGGUAUAACCUUGCUCAAGGAUGUAUCUACUAUAUGGAUGACGACUUCAAAACGUGCAACUCAGAGUGUGGCCUACCGUGCAUUCAAUAAUAUAAACUUUAGAACUAUUAAAAUAAGGGAUACUUCAAAUAGACCAUAAAGGAGAUAACCCUCCCUAGUGCUGUUGUCUGGGUGAGGUAUUGAGGUCUGGAGCAUACCACAAAAAAGGCGUUAAGUGUGGAAAUCCGUGUUAGCUGGUUGGUUGUCAACCGAUACAGCAACAUCAAUGAACCUGAUUUGCUAAAAGAGUCUUCAGGAUGGGAGUGUAUUGAUUAUAUAUGAAUUCUGCAUUCAUUUUUGCCACUGGGACGAGUGCAACCACAUUCAUAUACUUUCCUCCAGCAGGCUUGACAUGAAUGUGAGAUAUGUUUUGGUCAUUUGAUUAUCCUAACAACCAAGGCACUUGCCUCUCACAAACUCAUCUCUUUCUGCUGAGUACACCUCAUCAAUAAUGAGAGUAACAUUGAGUUCUCUACUAUUCAAGUAUGUAUUUUAUUUUUGCUCCGGGAUAUUUAACAGUUGAAACAGGCAAUCCUGUCUCUACAAUAGUCAAUACACUUGACAGAGCUCUGAGAUGCUUGGGAAAAGGAAUUGUAAGAAGAUUCCAACUAUAUAUUUGAUUAUAGAGGGCUGUGCUCACGUUUUGCCGCAGGAAACCAACAGAGAGAAGACCUAGUAAGUAUCUCCUAGCGUUCGGGCUCUUGAAGAGUAGCGUCAUCUGCUCCAUGAUAAAAGCGAGCUUUAAUAAUUGAGCUGGUUCCAAGUCUGAGGAUUCUAAUAGUCUAUGUAAGAGGGUGAUGAUAACUUAAUACACUUCAUUGUUCUUCAAUUCCUCCUUGAUCCAAUAUAUGCAACUAUGUUGAUUACUUCUGUAACAGAUUUAAUCUUCCCAAGCAUUAAGCCAAGUAGCGCAUCGAAGGCUAAUGUCAUUAUUAGCCAAAAAAAAUAUCUUGGUCAAAAUUGACAUACUUUGUCCACUGGGGUAUUUUUAUUUCAAGCAUUUUGGAGAAUCCUUUCCUGAUCUCUCUUGAAUAAGUCAAGUACUGUAUUGUUUCUACUUUUUAUUUGCGUCAUUAUUCAUAUACUUUUUGCUUGAACAAUUAUGGAAAGGGAAUUAUGAUUCAAAAUGAUUUUCACAAUCAGAAUGAUCAGUAGGUUUCCAAUUUGGAAGAUAUUUAAGAUUUGAUACCCUUUUUUUUUUCUUACGACUUCUUUUGGAUUUUUGGAAAUGGGAAAUUUAAAAAAGUGAACGUUUACUUGAAGCUUUUGGAAAUUUGACUCAGUUCUAUUAUUGCAUCCUCAGACACUACAAUGACCCAUUAUUUUUGUGUAAUUUGUUUCAAAUUUGCAUUAUAAUAAUAAGUAAACAUAAAAUAUUUUAGAUAAGAAUAAAUUAUAUACGAAUUAUUACUAA